AGUCUGUAUCUUUAGGUAUUUAAAUAAAAGUAAACAAAAUCUACCCUCAAAUGGCUCCUUAAGCCGGUUGAGGGUAGAUAAAAACAUUACAUGAUCAAAUAAUGAAGGUUAAAGUCAGGUCGUUCAGUGACUGAUCCAGGCGGUUUUGUAUUUGGUUUGUUAACCAACAAAUGU